AUCAAAUAGAAUCAUCGAAUGGACUCGAAUGGAAUCAUCGAAUGGAAUGGAAUGGAAUAGUCAAUGAACUCGAAUGGAAUCAUCAUUGAAUGGAAUCGAAUGGAAUCAUCGAGUGGAAUCGAAUAGAAUCAUGAUCAAAUGGAAUCAAGUGUAAUCAUCAUCAAAUGGAAUCAAAAAUAACCAUCAUCAGUUGGUAUUGAAUGGAAUUGUCAUCAAAUGGAAUUCAAAGGAAUCAUCAUCAAAUGGAACCGAAUGGAAUCCUCAUUGAAUGGAAAUGAAAGGAAUCAUCAUCUAAUGGAAUCGCAUGGAAUCAUCAUCAAAUGGAAUCGAAUGGAAUAAUCAUCGAAUGGAAUCUAAUGGAAUCAUUGAACAGAAUUGAAUGGAAUCGUCAUCGAAUGAAUUGAAUGCAAUCAUCGAAUGGUCUCGAAUGGCAUCAUCUUCAAAUGGAAAGGAAUGGAAUCAUCGCAUAGAAUCGAAUGGAAUUGUCAUUGAAUGGACUCGAAUGGAAUCAACAUCAAACGGAAUCAAACGGAAUUAUCGAAUGGAAUCGAAGAGAAUCAUCGAAUGGCCUCGAAUGGAAUCCUCUAAUGGAAUGGAAUGAAAUAAUCCAUGGACACGAAUGUAAUCAUCAUCGAAUAGAAUCGAAUGGAAUCAUCGUAUGGACUCGAAUGGAAUAAUCAUUGAACGGAAUCGAAUGGAAUCAUCGUCGAAUGGAGGAAACAAAUGGAAUCAUCAUAGAAUGGAAAUGAAAGGGGUCAUCAUCCAAUGGAAUCGCAUGGAAUCAUCAUCAAAUGGAAUCGAAUGGAAUCAUCAUCGAAUGGAAUCUAAUGGAAUCAUUGAACGGAAUUGAAUGGAAUCAUCAUCGAAUGAAUUGAAUGCAAUCAUCGAAUGGUCUCGAAUGGAAUCAUCUUCAAAAUGAAUGGAAUGGAAUCAUCGCAUAGAAUCGAAUGGAAUUAACAUCGAAUGGACUCAAAUGGAAUCAACAUCAAACGGAAUCAAACGGAAUUAUCGAAUGGAAUCGAAGAGAAUCAUCGAAUGGACUCGAAUGGAAUCAUCUAAUGAAAUAGAAUGGAAUAAUCCAUGGACUAGAAUGCAAUCAUCCUCAAAUGGAAUCGAAUGGAAUCGUCGAAUGGACUCGAAUGGAAUAAAUAUUGAACGGAAUCGAAUGGAAUCAUCAUCGGAUGGAAACGAAUGGAAUCAUCAUCGAAUGGAAAUGAAAGGAGUCAUCAUCUAUUGGAAUCGCAUGGAAUCAUCAUCAAAUGGAAUCGAAUGGAAUCAUCAUCGAAUGGAAUCUAAUGGAAUCAUUG
rnacentral:lncRNA from 10 species